rnacentral:lncRNA from 1 species
GAAAAAAUUAGCAGGGAAGAUUCGACAGAAAGAGAAGAAAAGAAAAGAAGAAGAAGAAGUGGGUUUUCAAGCUUGGGUUCUCCAUUUCUUCAAUUUCUCCGCUGAUUUAGAGAUGUAUGUGUAAGUAUGUUGUCUUAUUUUUUUGGGUUUAAGUAAAUAUAUAUUGUAAGAUUAGCGUUGAAAGGAAGGAAGGUUGAAAUGGGUUUCUAAAUUACAGUUUCAAUCUUUAAUUUAUUGCGUUUAUAUAAUAUAAAACACUUGAUUUAUGAGGUAUUACAGUGGCACAAGGAUUUUAGGUUUGAUUUUGGUAUUUCUUAACUCAUUUUCUUCAUUUUUCGUACAAUUAUAACCCUAUUGAUACUUUAAAAAUUUUGGCUAGAAUGUGCCAUUUUUGUCAAAGGUUUUGGAGACAGUCUUCCAUAUAUGGAAGCUGGUGCCAAAUUUCAAUACUCUGGAAUCUUAGUGUUAUUUUUGUCAGAUUUUACAAGCUUCAAUGAAACUGGAUGAUAUAUAUUGAAGUUCAGGUAUUGAAUUAAAUCAUGUAUAGGGGUUGUAUAUGUAUAAAGUAGUGAUUUUAAGAAAAUAUAGUGAUUUAAUGGAUUUGAUCAUUUAUGGUGAUCUGUUAUUAAAUAAUAAAAGAGAGGAAAAGUUAGAGAAAUAGAUACACAAAAGUAAAUGUAGAAGUUGAGGAAUUAUGUGGUGGAUUUACAUUGGUUGACGUGUCCGGUUUUAAUUUAGGUUAUUAUAUUAUUUCAGGCAGUAACGUGAAAGCUUGAAAAUGCUCGUCAAUAUAACCAGAUUGCUAUCCCUAGAUCCGUGAGUGAAAAAAUUUAAAUAUUUUCAAUUACUAAUAAAUUGAUUAUACUAUUACGUUAUGUGGGAUUAUGUGAAUUAUUUCGGCUACAUGAUUAUCGAUAAAUGUUCUCUCACUAUGAUAUAUGUGGAAUUACAAAGAUUAUAUGUGGGUUACUUGUGAAUUAGAAUAUGAGACAUGUUUUAUUGACAGCUACUAGAGCACGGCAUGCAAUUGUGUUGGCCACAAGUGAGACUUCUCAAGUGAUCGCAAGGGUGGUUAUAGGAUGUGAUCAUGGGAGGAUUGACCACUUGCUUGUGCCAUUGUGAUAUGGUGAUUUUUAGUAUCUCGGGUGGUAUACUUCCUCGCUAAUCAUUGGGGCUAUCAGGUGAUGUACCUCUAAUGAUCACAAGAUGAUGGUCCUCUCAACUGUGAUAUUGUGAUUAUUGUCAUCUUGAGUGGGAUACUUCUUGUGUGACCAUGGAGCCGUUAGGGGAUGUACUUCUGAUGAUCACAGGAGGAUGGGCCACUCGACUCUACCCAGCUGAUUAUUGAUUACUGAUGUUGAUAUUACAUUAUUUUCAAACUUAUCCAUUCAUUAAGCUAUCAACUCAUAUAUUUUCUUAUAAUUUUUCCUACAUGUAGCAAUUGGUUUUUGAUAGCAUGAGGAGCUUGAUAAUUUUAGAGUUAGAGCUACACGACAUAUUGAGUGAUAUGAGUCAUUUGGAUUAAACAUUAGAUAAUUAUGUUGGACCCAUCACAUUAUAUUUUUCACAAGCAUUUGAUUUUGGCACAUGUUUUAUAG